GGGAGUAUAGCUCAGCGGUAGAGCGUUCGACUGGAGAUCGAGAGGUCCCCGGUUCGAAUCCGUGUGUUUUCU
rnacentral:tRNA from 1 species